UACGUAGGGGGCAAGCGUUGUCCGGAAUCAUUGGGCGUAAAGCGCGUGUAGGCGGCCCGAUAAGUCCGCUGUGAAAGUCCAGGGCUCAACCCUGGAAUGCCGGUGGAUACUGUCGGGCUCGAGUCCGGAAGAGGCGAGUGGAAUUCCUGGUGUAGCGGUGAAAUGCGCAGAUAUCAGGAGGAACACCGAUGGCGAAGGCGGGUCUCUGGGCCGAUGCUGACGCUGAGGAGCGAAAGCGUGGGGAGCGAACAGG
rnacentral:rRNA from 1 species